rnacentral:lncRNA from 1 species
CUCACUUCGCAGUCAAUUCAAAGCUUUACCGGGGCCUUUCCCCUAGAAUUCGCCUCCCAACCACUCGUAUCUAGCCACAGUUGACUCAAUUGUAUCAAAUAUUACUAAAAGAACCAAUUAGAAUGCAUAAAUUAUUAAUCUCAAACUUUCCCCCAAAAAGUCAAAAUUCGACCCCGGAUCCGCUUGGUCAAAAUUCGAGGUUCGGACAAAAAUUCA